rnacentral:lncRNA from 1 species
GCGGUAAGCAGCUCGUGCUCCGUGUGGGGACCAUGUCGGAAGAUUUCACCGAGAUCGAGCAAAUCCAUCUUUUUUUCUUUUUUUUUCCUUUCUUUUUUUUUUUGAGAUUAGAAAUCUACUUUCCAAUGUCCUUCAUGCACUCCAUGGAAAGAUUUAUUCCUUUUUAAUUUAUUUUUUUAUUUGGGAUUACAUGCAAUUU